GACACGUUUCAAGGUAUGUGUUAGGCCUAGGGAAGAGAAACGUGUCAUGGCACCUAAUGGACCCUUAAUAAUAGUAAACAACUAGUGAAUUUGUGUGUGCAUGUGUUGUGAUUGGUGGUUGGCCAAGAGCAUUGAUUGGUUAAAUUGUUUUCAUCUUAAUUUAUUUCAAGAGUGGAACAGAAGAAGGGUCAGGGGAAAGAAGAGGAGAAAAACUUCAUUUCCUUUUUUUGUUUUUUCCUUUGUUCUUUUCGACUGGAAUUGGAGAGAAUAAAUCCAUUUGCAUGAGGGAGAAAACUAUGGUCUUGGCUUGCUUGGAAGUUGUUCUUUCGAGUGUUACUGCCAAAGAAGUGGGGGGAAGGUCCUAGUGGAAAAGCGAAGCAGCUCGUUGGGUAGAUAGAAGCGUCCUUGGAAGAUUUUUGGUGAGUUCUUUUAACUUUUGUGCUUGAUAAAUUGAAGAACUAGCAUAAAGGUAUCGACUGUCCAGGUAAAGCUUAGUGAUGUCUUUAGUUUACUGACUGUAUGUUGUUUAAGUUUGUUUGAAGUUUAAAUCCAACAAUUUGUUAGCAUCUACUGUUAGUCAUGUUAGCAAUCUACGUGAGUUGACCAUUGGUUGUAAUUUUUUCAUUCAAGUGAUUGCUUGUUUAUUGGUAAAUGUGCUUUCUGUGAAUGUAAGUGUAAAGAUCGUAAUGGUUAAACCUUCCUUUGUGCUAGUGACUCGUAUUUGAAGACGGAUGAAUAGAGGGAAUUGAGGUGACUGUUGAAGUGUGUUUGUGAUGGAGAAUUGAAUUGUUCUAUGAAUGGAGAAUAAUGAUCUGAUAUGUUUUUGCCUCCAGUAGGGCAGAUAAAUGCGAACCGUGAUUGGAAAAAAACCCCAUCCUUGCGGAGGAACACAAUGUGUUAAAAUUUCAAGGUCUGUAAUGACUUAGCUGAGGGAUAGUUUGUUAUGAGUUGUUUCUUUAUUGGAAGAAGAGACAAUGGUGGGAAAUGUUGGCAAGCGUGACUCCAAAAUAACAUGUAGAUUGGGAGUUCUUUUUAAUGAAAUUAAGAGAGAAAUAUGUAAAUUUUAUGUAUGUGGAACAGAUAAGGAAGAAUUUUUAUAUCUUAGACAAGGAAAAAUGUCAGUAAUGGAAUACAAGCAAGAAUUCGUCAGACAAA